rnacentral:rRNA from 1 species
CUUACCAGGUCCAGACACAGUUAGGAUUGACAGAUUGAUAGCUCUUUCUUGAUUCUGUGGGUGGUGGUGCAUGGCCGUUCUUAGUUGGUGGAGUGAUUUGUCUGGUUAAUUCCGAUAACGAACGAGACCUCAGCCUAUUAAUUAAAUAAAAAAAUAUAAGCAAUUAUAAGGGUUAAAUAAAAUUUAUUUAAUGCUUUUUAAGUGUUAAAUAAUUUUAUUUAAAACUUGUUUAUAUUUAUUUUUAUUUUCUUAAAGGGACACUUGGUGUUCAACCAAGGGAAGUUUGAGGCAAUAACAGGUCUGUGAUGCCCUUUAGAUGUUCUGGGCCGCACGCGCGCUACACUGAUAAAAUCAAUAAGUUUUUUUAAUUUAAUUCCUUGACCGAAAGGUUUGGGUAAACUUUGAAAAUUUUAUCGUGCUGGGGAUUGACAAUUGUAAUUAUUUGUCAUGAACGAGGAAUUCCUAGUAAGCGUGAGUCAUCAGCUCGCGUUGAUUACGUCCCUGCCCUUUGUACACACCGCCCGUC